GACGAACGCUGGCGGCGUGCCUAAUACAUGCAAGUAGAACGCACAGUUUAUACCGUAGCUUGCUACACCAUAAACUGUGAGUUGCGAACGGGUGAGUAACGCGUAGGUAACCUGCCUGGUAGCGGGGGAUAACUAUUGGAAACGAUAGCUAAUACCGCAUAAUAUUGAUUAUUGCAUGAUAAUUGAUUGAAAGAUGCUAUUGCAUCACUACCAGAUAGACCUGCGUUGUAUUAGCUAGUAGGUGAGGUAACGGCUCACCUAGGCGACGAUACAUAGCCGACCUGAGAGGGUGAUCGGCCACACUGGGACUGAGACACGGCCCAGACUCCUACGGGAGGCAGCAGUAGGGAAUCUUCGGCAAUGGACGAAAGUCUGACCGAGCAACGCCGCGUGAGUGAAGAAGGUUUUCGGAUCGUAAAGCUCUGUUGUAAGAGAAGAACGGGUGUGAGAGUGGAAAGUUCACACUGUGACGGUAUCUUACCAGAAAGGGACGGCUAACUACGUG
rnacentral:rRNA from 1 species